GCUGCUGUUGGCAGCCAGACUGUAUGCACGGGGUGUCUGUGGGUCGUGGGUGAGCGCGCAGUCGGCUCUUUACUUCCCCACCGCUGUUAAACUUAUCCUUUUCCGUCUCGUUCUUUCUUCAGGAGAGUCUCCGGUCUACACUCUGCUAUACUCUGACUCCGAGUAGUUUCCGUCUGCCUGUGCCUGCUAAAGUAGUGAGCCUGAAAGAAGACAACACUAACAUUAUUUCAUUGUACGUGUAGACGAUUAACCAGAUAGAAGAGACCAGUACAGAGUUUACAGAGUUAGCUACAGAUAGUAUGUAGGAUGAAUAAGAGAAUAAGAAGAAAAAGAAGAAGAAAAUAAGAAGGUGAGGCAGGCCGGGCAAGUAACGGCAAGGCGAGCAACCCAGACUCAACUGGUGAAAGAGACCGAGAUCAUGUAUUAGUAUAGCUAGUUGACCUGGGCGAAGAAGUGGGGACUGGAAGCCCCGAGACAGAGAUAUAGAAGAUAUCAAGGGGAUUAGUUGAGGUAGGAGUUGUCAACAGUGGCUGCUUUUCUUGGUCUAUUUCUUCUGGGAGUUGUCUGCAAGUAUUUCCCUGUGCUCUGUACUGGUUUCGGGCACUCUGCUGAUAUUAUGAGAAAAAUAUAUACUGAUGCUCAGAAUCACAAGAUUGGAGUAGCUGAGCUUUAAUAAUAAAAUGAAUAAAAAAUGUUUACAGUGACCGCAGGAUGAAAUUCCAGGCGUUAGUGAGUCACGAUUUCAUGAUGAUCGUCCGGUAAAAGCCAUAAAUAUUACUUUAAAUGGACUUGAGGGUAAACGCUCGCGGACAUUGAAAGUGAUAUAUCUGCAGCAGUUUGUAUGUAGUUAUAAAAAAAAACCAGAGAGCCAAAGUAAAGGACUCGUUUUGGUGUUGAUAUACAAUAGCGUAAAGACCUGACCGUUUAAAGCCGCGGAAUUACUCGGGUUUAUUUGCAUGUCUUUGGUUUAGUUCCCCAACAUCCAACAUCCAAUACCAGUACAGUACAGUACUCAGCUCUAAUGUAACAGCAAGUACGCAAAGAGAAAGAUAAAGACCAAUAAAAGUAACAAGAGAGGGAAGUAAUCCUACUACAAGUACAAAUUAAUCGUGCUACUGCUAGCAAUGAAUGCCGUUGCGUCGGUGCAACGCCGAGAGUAUAACCAUUCACUUUUCCUGUCGCCCAACGUGACUAAAUUAUUCCUCUACCACUGGUGACUACCAACACUCAUUACUUCUAGGUAUAAUCACAACAUGCGCGUUAUUUUUGCUGGUAUACGGAUAAAAUUAUUGACUUCGCAGGUUUUCACCGCUUCUGUUCUAGUUACAGUUCAAGAUUCAGGAGGAAUUCCGUGCUAAUUAUUAAUAUUUUUGUGAUGAAAUUCAUUACCAGAAAACUGAAA